rnacentral:rRNA from 1 species
AGAGGCCCGCAUCAUUUUUGUGGUGGGGGUGCUCGAGUGGCGAACGGGUGAGUAACACGUGGGUGAUCUGCCCUGUACUUCGGGAUAAGCUUGGGAAACUGGGUCUAAUACCGGAUAGGACCAUGGUUUAGUGUCUCAUGGUGGAAAAAUUAUUGUUUUGGUGCAGGAUGAGCUCGCGGCCUAUCAGCUUGUUGGUGGGGUAAUGGCCUACCAAGGCGUCGACGGGUAGCCGGCCUGAGAGGGUGGACGGCCACAUUGGGACUGAGAUACGGCCCAGACUCCUACGGGAGGCAGCAGUGGGGAAUAUUGCACAAUGGGCGCAAGCCUGAUGCAGCGACGCCGCGUGGGGGAUGACGGCCUUCGGGUUGUAAACUCCUUUCGUUAGGGACGAAGCCACACCUUUUUUGGGUGUGGUGACGGUACCUUUGUUAAGAAGCACCGGCUAACUACGUGCCAGCAGCCGCGGUAAUACGUAGGGUGCGAGCGUUGUCCGGAAUUACUGGGCGUAAAGAGCUCGUAGGUGGUUUGUUGCGUCGUCUGUGAAAUUCCGGGGCUUAACUUCGGGGUGGCAGGCGAUACGGGCAUAACUAGAGUGCUGUAGGGGAGACUGGAAUUCCUGGUGUAGCGGUGGAAUGCGCAGAUAUCAGGAGGAACACCGAUGGCGAAGGCAGGUCUCUGGGCAGUAACUGACGCUGAGGAGCGAAAGCAUGGGGAGCGAACAGGAUUAGAUACCCUGGUAGUCCAUGCUGUAAACGGUGGGCGUUAGGUGUGGGGACCGGUUUGGUUUCUGUGCCGUAGCUAACGCAUUAAGCGCCCCGCCUGGGGAGUACGGCCGCAAGGCUAAAACUCAAAGGAAUUGACGGGGGC